UUUUUUUUUGAGUUUUUACCACAUUCCUUUGCCUACAACAUAUUUCUCUGGCUUCACAUUUCCCUACUGCGUUCCUCAUCAUUUCUUCCCAAACUUCUGCGUAAUAGUUAUUGCUCCUCGUCUCCACUCCAAGUUGAUAAAAUUAGUUGAGUGUCUAGUGUGGGCUUUGCAGUUGGAGAGACUGACAACUAUGUUCUUGAAUCUGCAGUUGAGUCUUCCGUCUCUAAUGGUGAUACCAUAUCUGUUCAUGUCAUUUGUAGAUGUCUAUAGAAUUAGUCUGACAUUAGGCAGUCUAUUUGCUGAAGAUUGGUUGCGUUUUUCUGUCUUGCUUGUUGUGUAGUGUGAGGCAUCAGCCCUGGGUUGUGUAGGCAGUUGGGUGCAGUACAUCUGAGAUUAAGAAAGAGGCCUUCAACGAGACUGUCACCAGUUAAUAAUCAGUGUAGACAGGAAUUCUCUAGUGUCCCAUGAUCCUGGUCUCAGUGUGAAAGGUUGUAAUGGAAUGCAAAGAGCUGGGAUUCUUGGCCUCCAGAGGAGAGGAAUUCAAUCUGGGGCCAGAGAUAAGGCUGGAUCACUCAGAGCUUUGUAUAAUAAAAUUUUAUUAAAAUAUCAAUGAGAUAGAGAAAACUUCUCAUAUAGGCAUCAGAAUGGGGCAGAAAGAGUACCCUCCUGCUAGUCUUCAGCUGGAUAUUAUAUAGUCACUAGUAGUCUGUUAAUGAAAGAAAGGAAUGUUUUAAAACUCAGAGUGGUACCAGGCCCCCUCACACAUAAGAUGCAUUUUGGGAUAAUCUUGGC
rnacentral:sRNA from 1 species